AGAGAAAUAAGAGUGACGGAGAAAUAUGAAGUGACACGGAGCGUCACUGGCACAUCCUGUGUGAGUGAAACCUCCUGUUUGACCGUUGCAGGUGAGACAUGAGAGGCGUGACGAGUCCAAACAAGAGAGUCCAGCCAGGUGGAUGUGGUGGGUGAGGUGGGUGAGGUGGAUGAGGUAGGUGAGCUGGAUGAGGUGCGUGAGGUGGGUGAGCUGGGUGAGGUGGGUGAGGUGGGUGAGGUGUGAGGUGGGUGAGGUGGGUGAGGUGGGUGAGCUGGGUGAGGUGGGUGAGGUGGGUGAGGUGGAUGAGGUGG
ensembl:lncRNA